rnacentral:lncRNA from 1 species
AGCUUUUACUCUUUAAUUUUCGCAUUUGUUAGCUCUCUUUUUUGGAGGGGCAUUAUUCAAAACAGUGUCACAUGAUUAUUUAAGAAUAUAAAAGAUAUAGACUAAUACGUUCAUAGUCAAUUGGUUUUGAGUUGAAAUAUAUCUAAUUUGAUAUAAGUAUCAGAGCAUGAUUCAUGCAUUGCAACAUAAGCCAUAACCGAU